AUCACCCUCUAUGGUACAGCCAUUUUAGGGUACACUUUAUGAAUUAUGUUUACAGAAUCAAGGAUGCAAUCGUCUGAUUAGUAGAUGUGAUUGCAUGGAAAAGAAAAUACUAUUUCUUGAUGAUCAGAAGCUCUGUUGUUGAUUUUGAAAAUGGAGAAUUAUUAUUUGAUUUUUUUCAAAUGUAUAAUGAUAUCAUCUGUGAAUGUUCUCACUCCUGUUCCUGCCUAUGGAUUUUAUUGUAACUGCCCCCUGAGAGAGACCACAAGAACACACUCAAAGUCUAACACCAAAUGAGAGAUGAAGUCAUUAAGUGGACAAUGUACAAAUUUCCUGGACGAAUAACAAGAUGUCAACACUGAGAUUAUAAGACUCAGCCCAAG